UGGCGUGACACUCGCACGCAAGAAAUCUUACGGCAAAUCUAUAUUAUUCCAUUAUAAACCUAAAAUCAGAUACAUCAAAAGUGUUGGGACAGUUUGCAAACCGUACAUCUAUUUACAAGGUGAUAAAAAGGUAACAUACAUGUAAAUGUGUUCGUGUUUGUGUGUACCUAGGUGACCAAAGUUGGCAACCCUUGUUCAUGUUCGUUUUAUGUUGUUGCUAGCGCCACAUUGUGUAUUCCUCAGUGAGUAACUUAAAUAAGAUAUGUCAGUUAAAGAAAUGCGUGAUGCAGAAAACUGUAUUUAUAUACAAGUAGCCUAUACUGCAUCGUCGUAUUAAGUGUAGGAAAUUACAUGAAUAUCAAUAACAGAAUAAAUAAAAUAAGACAGUUUUAGACCAGUAUAAUAUUUUAAGAAGAUUAAUAUGAACGGAUCCUAUGAGAGUUGAAUCUUACACGGAGGCUCUAUAUCUGUUUCUGGGUUAUGUCUGCUACUCUAGCUGAACGUCCCCCGGUGGGUGCGCAAGGAUUCUCAACCUUUCUUAAACCAAGGACCUACUAAUUAAAAUUUACGGGGUUUGGGGCUCAUAUAGCUUGGUUAAGCUAGAAGUAAUGAUUGUUAAGAGUUUAGGUAAAGGCCGGGCAUCCCCUAUUGCACAGUCAUAACUUGUAGCUUCAAGUCAUUUAAUUACCUCAAGUCAUUAAAGCUAGGCCACGUAUGACCCCAGGCUAAAAACAAAGGAACGCGUUCAUUAUUGACAAAUAAGAGCGCGCGUGUUCUCUAAGAGCCAACAACUUUUAUUGCAUCUGCAGGAUCUUUCCUACAAUUAUACUAUGUCGAUAGUAAAAAAAAUCACUAUACAGAUGAAUCCCUGAGUUCUGAAUUACCCCACGUUGACUUGAAAAAAGUGCAAGAAGAUAUGGUAUAAAAAAUAUAUUUUAUGUAUAUUUUAUUGGUGAUCAUCAGGUGAAUAAGUGUGAGAUGAUAUUCUGGAAGUUUUCUUCCAUUGUUCUGGUGCAGCACUGAAGGUGUGGCUCCAUGAUUUGAUCUUUAGAGUAAGCUGAAUGGAACAUUUCAUGUGCAGUCAUUCUGAUAAUGAAUCUCCCCUUCAGUCAGUCAACACACAGCCCCAAUUACCAUGAAGAAAGUGCUGCCUGUUGGCCACUAGGUGUCAGUGUACCUCUUGAGUUGCCUUCGCAGCAGAUGUCAGCCUUAUGUAAGAAUGAUAUGAUACCCAUGAAAUUCAUAUUUAUGAAACGUCCCAGAAUCUUUUCUAAAGUACCCUUUGUCUGAGUUCUCUGAAAAAAAAGCUAUGCUUUUUCCCCCUCCAUUUUAACUUUGGGAAAUGUACAAUAAUAUUAAUUAUGCAAAUCACUUGGCCCAAUGUACUGUUGCCUUGGGUCUCCCUGAGUUCUAGAGAGCAUCAUGGUGUGGUGAUUUUAAUAGCUGCUCCAAUGUUAAGUUAUUAAAAUGCCUUGUAAUGUAUUGUAUAGCUCUUGCUCAAUUGCUUACAUGCACUAGUAACUGGCCACUCAUCCGAACCGGAAGCUGAUCCUAGCCGUAUGUAUACCUAUGUCACUUUGAACAUAACUAUGAAACAGUCAAACAUAAAUUGUGUGGCUGAGGUCAAAUUACCAAAAAUACAUUUGUUGAGGUAUAUAUUUUUUUAAAUAAUUGACUUUUGUUCCAUCCUUAGUGAUUUAUGCACAUCAGUAACAUCACCCGUUCCCAGACUUUUAAAAGUUCUAUGAAAUUUCUGUGUUUAAGAAACACAGUAAUCAGUAUCAGCAGCGUAACUACAUAGUAAUGAUACUGUAAAGAACAAUCUUGCAAAAAGUUUGAUAUUUACUUUUAACAUUCUUUUUUUUCAUUGUUAACACACCAUCUCAAACAUAUUAACACCUGUUUAGAUUAAUGGCAUGAGUAGUUUUUACUACUGCGUGGUUCCAAUGCAGAAAGGUUUGUGACACCCCUUUUAUGACCUUUUCUGGCCACCGUAGUUUUCAUCUGCUGGGCGCAGAGUGUAACUUACUGUAGUGUGCCGGGACAGCAAAGGGAAGUUAGGAGCAUCCCCACAUUUAUAAAGGGGAUGCUUUAUCCUGGCAUCUCCAGUUUGUGCUUCUUAAAGUUUGUCCUUGAAAAGCCUCUUUUGGUUUUCCUCCCCCUGUUGUCUCAUAUGGGGAGUCGCAUUCCAAGCUGCAUCAAGCAGAGAAGCAAUAUUCCUGUCUCAGGGCCUGUGCGUCGCUCCAUGGGUGUCCUGGCACCUCUCACCCUGUGUAUCUGAAAGACGUCCUGUGAUUGCCUUCAAAUAAUUGCACUUCUUUGUUUUCGUAAAGCAGUUCAGGGCUUAUGUCCUCCAAAGGUUAUGGAAUUCACCACAAUCUAGGUCUUAUCACAAACACUGUGACAAUAAUAGAUUUAUGCCACAAGAGUAAAUCAAGAUUAUGAGUGUUUAAAUUUUCUGAGAUGAAUAUGAGGUAGCCAUUACACUGUGACCUACGCCAAGCAUAACACUCAUGUGUGUUCCACACGCCGAUCUGGGGAGGUUACUCUGUUUCGUUCCACGGUGCAAAUACUUUACGGUAGUUUUAUAAUGAGGUAGCCAUCCUGCUAGAUGAGGCGGAAGAGAUCUACCCAUGUGGCCUGAGCCGGUGCUAGCCAGAGAUGAGGAGCACAGCAGGGCCAAAGAGAGCAGCCGGUCAUUCUGGCUAGCAGUCAGAGAUGGCUCCGGUUACGGCCUGCUGUGAUCGAGAAGGACUGCUGGUGCAGAAGAGGCGCGGGGUGAAGGUUGGAGCGGUGGUCACCAGGGUGUCCUUCUACACCUCACCUUGGCUAGAGGACGAGCGGGCAGAGUGAGGAAGAGACAGAAGGCUCGGCUAUACCCAAGGUGACUAUAAAGGUACCAGUGGCUUAAGGAAGUGACAAUCAUGAUGACAUCAGAAAGUCAUCAAAGAAAAGCAAGACGCGAUCCGAAUGAUGAAGAGCUCCUCCUUUGACAGUUGUCAGAAGCCCUUCGAAUGAACUUUGCCUGUGAUCUGUUGCAUGUUACUAUUGCACAGAAUUUUGCUUUCACCUGUUUAAUACCACAGACACCUUAGAACCUGUAUAAAAGCUCACAUAUGUGCCUCAGCCAGUCAGUCCUAGAAUAAAUGGAGGCAAUGGGCUAUCAAUGAUAGGAUAUGGAAGUCAGCUGUGUGAGAGAGCAGCAGGAGGCAAGGAAACCCAAAGCAUUAAUAAUACUGUCCUGAAACCUUUUUUCUGUCGGUAUUUGAUAUGCUGCUUAUCAAAGGUUCCUAUUGCUCCCAAGUUGGGAAUUGGUGAAAACAGUUUAAGUGCACUUUAUUAAUUCAUGCACCAUUGCCUCCAUCUCUGCUAUUAAACACAGGGCCUCAAAAGUUGCAAUGCACCAAAAGUAUCAUACCAACUCUUUUUAGUCUAUAUUAAAUUAUUUAAAAAAAACUGAAUAUACAUUUUUGUCAUGGCAUUCUACUCAUCCAAAGAUGCAGGAUAUUUAAGAUAUCCUUGUUAUUUGUAGCAGCCACUUUAGAAGGUAGCAGGAAGAGGAGAGGGAAGGUGUGUUCCUUGGAGAGCUGUGCCUUAUGCUGGAAACUGUUAGCCUACAGAGAGCGAGGAGACCUGCCUUCCAGCUGAGCAGGCGGAUAUUAAACCUGCUCUCCGCUGCAGAUGCAAGUCAUUCCACAGCCCUAUGAGGCAGCAUUUCGUCUGUGUCUGGCAGGUAGUCUUGGCAUCUGCAGAUGAAGGACAUGAGCGCGUAUGUCUAACUCCGGGGCCCCCCAGUGGAGGCCCCUCCCGGCAGUGGAGGAAGCCUUGCCAUUGUCAUCAAGCACCUGAGGCCUGUAAAGAUCUGCUCCAAAAAAACAUCUUAACAAAAAAUAAGAAAGAAAAAUGUGUUUUAGUAGUGUCAUAGUGUCAAGGUCAUUUGCAAGUCAAGAAUUUUUGGUGUCUAGAGAUUCAUUUAUGGCACAUUACAAUCUAAGAUGAACAUGGAAUUAUCGUUAAAAUAAUUCCCAAACCGUAUCUGUGCAAUUACUGGAUUUGUUUUAUAUUUGUAAUUUUGAAGCGGAGAAAAAAAUUGAUUGCCUGCAGAUAAUUCUUUAUACAAAGGGCUUCACUCCUGUGUACAGACAGACAUUUGAAUGUAGGUAACUUAUCCAUAGUAUGCAAUUUAAACUUUUCAAUCCACUGUAAAAUCUGAAAAUGUUUUACUAUCCUACCAAUUCCCAAAAAUGUGCAAUAUAUUAUUAAUACUUAUUGUGUUUUGUUUGCCGAUAUCCCUAUUGUUUACAGAAGGAUAAAUAUAAAAUCCAUUAACUUAA